UACAGAGGUCCCGAGCGUUGUUCGGAUUCACUGGGCGUAAAGGGUGCGUAGGUGGUGAGGAAAGUCGGAUGUGAAAUCUCCGGGCUUAACCCGGAAAUGGCAUUGGAAACUACCUUGCUAGAGGUUUUGAGGGGGGACUGGAAUUCUCGGUGUAGCAGUGAAAUGCGUAGAUAUCGGGAGGAACACCUGUGGCGAAAGCGGCUCACUGGACCACAACUGACGCUGAGGCGCGAAAGCUAGGGGAGCAAACAGG
rnacentral:rRNA from 1 species